rnacentral:rRNA from 1 species
CAGUAGCCGCGGGAAAACGUAGGUGGCAAGCGUUGUCCGGAAUUAUUGGGCGUAAAGCGCGCGCAGGUGGUUUAAUAAGUCUGAUGUGAAAGCCCACGGCUCAACCGUGGAGGGUCAUUGGAAACUGUUAAACUUGAGUGCAGGAGAGAAAAGUGGAAUUCCUAGUGUAGCGGUGAAAUGCGUAGAGAUUAGGAGGAACACCAGUGGCGAAGGCGGCUUUUUGGCCUGUAACUGACACUGAGGCGCGAAAGCGUGGGGAGCAAACAGGAUUAGAUACCCCUGUAGUCCCUGUCUCUUAUAC